rnacentral:rRNA from 1 species
CCCUUAGAUGUCCUGGGCCGCACGCGCGUUACACUGAUGCAUUCAACGAGCUUAUAACCUUGGCCGAGAGGCCUGGGCAAUCUUGUUAACGUGCAUCGUGAUAGGGAUAGAUUAUUGAAAUUAUUAAUCUUGAACGAGGAAUUCCUAGUAAACGCAGAUCAUCAAUCUGCAUUGAUUACGUCCCUGCCCUUUGUACACACCGCCCGUCGCACCUACCGAUUGGAUGGUCCGGUGAAGCCUCGGGAUUGUGGUUCUUGCCGCUUUAUUGUGGCGUGACCGCGAGAACUUGUCUAAACCUUAUCAUCUAGAUGAAGGUGAAGUCGUAACA